UACGUAGGGGGCAAGCGUUGUCCGGAAUUAUUGGGCGUAAAGCGCGCGCAGGCGGCUUUGUAAGUCUGGUGUUUAAUCUCGGGGCUCAACCCCGAUUCGCAUUGGAAACUGCAAGGCUUGAGUGCAGAAGAGGAAAGUGGAAUUCCACGUGUAGCGGUGAAAUGCGUAGAUAUCUGGAGGAACACCGGUGGCGAAGGCGGCAUCCUGGACCGGUAUUGACGCUGAGGCGCGAAAGCUAGGGGAGCAAACGGGG
rnacentral:rRNA from 1 species